UUUCUACAAGUGAAUAUAUUGGCGGGAUGUAUAAAUGCGACGGAUCAUGUAUAAAUAUUUGUCUGUCAGUGCGGCAUAUAUUGGGACAACAAAAUACUCCAAUUUGUGACUCCGUUAUUACCAACGACAAUAUGAUCUGUUGCUUUUGAUAAUAAUUCCCAACAAAUAACUCGGGAAUCGCCAGAUAUUUUGGAUGCCUUGACACACAAAGGCUUUAGAUUUUGCGAUUUUGCCAAUGAAACUAUAAUUAUGCAUAUAUUUUCUAAAUAAUUUCACUUUCGUGGGGCAGGCUUUGCUUUAUUGUUUCGCAGUCUCUCGCAUCGUUUGAUCGAUGUCGGGCUGAAUGUAAUAGGUAAUUAGAAAUGAGGCCAGAGUUGUUCCUUAACUUAUUCUUAUUUCCAGGAAUUUAAAUCUGCCAUUACGCUGGUAACAGGGUUCCUAUAAAGUCUCGAAAGUCCUUGAAUCAUAGCCUAUCGAAGGGAAGAUGGCUGCGAAACUCAUUAGAAUAACGAUAUAACUCAUUAUGAUGUUAGUCAACGUUUAUUCAUAAAUCUGAUCGUUUCACCGUCACGUGUGUAUUGUAUUUUUACCAAAUCCACCAAUAGCAAUUUCCAGUUUCCCUAUUGUUCGAGUCACGGAUAGGUGACUUUCCUAAAACAUUGCUAUUGGUUAGUUGCGCAAGAAUACAAUACACACGUGACGGUGAAGGACCAGAUUAAUGAAUAAACGUUGACCAACAUAGAUAAUCAGUUAUAUUGUUAUUCUAAUGAGUUUCACAGCCAUCUUCCCUUCGAUAGGCUAUGCUUGAAUUCUUCUUGCUUUAGUUUGUGGAUAUUUUCUGAAAUUGCACCUGGUUCCUGGUUCCUUCAUUUUUAGUGACUUCCAGAGCCCGUCUAGGUUUCCACGCCCGACAAAAUCUUGUUUUUCAAGCUCUCUGAAAAGAUCCAAAGGUUUUCGCAGCUUCUCGAUUGUCGCAGCUUCGAUUUCAUGACGUUGCGUUAACAUACUUCAGGUUGUCAAAGAUAUCAUUCGUUAUCUCUUUCACGAGCUUUAUCAUGAACUUACUGUAUUGAGUGUAUUCGUUCUUUUCGAUAUCAGUACCAGCGACACUCGACAUUUUCAGAACAAGAAAAAUUCUUAGAUUAAUUUUGUUAUACAAGGACAGGGUGCAUAAAAAAAAACUGAACAGAUUUGAAAUUGCUCUCAAUUUCGCAGAAGAGCUCGUGGUAUCAAGUUUUUGUUAUUUUAUUAUAUAUAAAGAUUCCUUGAGUACCCAUAAUGUAGAAUAAAUUUAAAAAAAUACUCUAAGUCAAAUUGUCUAAACCAUGCUAGUGUUUCUUUUCCAACAAACUAAAAAUGUCUCGCGCACGAAAUUUAAAAGCUUUAAUCGAAUUUUGAGUUAAUAGAUGGAAAAUUUGUUGGGUUUUUAAUUACUCUACAAAAUGUCAGACAAUUUGCUUUAGUUUCAUCCCUUUAAUUUUGUACAGUAAUUAAAAACCCAACAAAGUUUCCACCCAUUAACUCAAACUACGAUUAAAGCUUUUAAAUUUCGUGCGCAAGCCAUUUUUAGUUUGAUGGAGAAAAAAACACGCAUCCCUGGUUUACAAAAUUUGAGUUCGAGAAAUUUUUUUCAUUAUUCUACAUAGGUACCCAAAGAAACUAUAUAUAUAUAUAAAAAACUGGAUACUAAUAGCUGUUUUGCGAAAUUGAGAGGAAUUUCAAAUCUGUUCAGUCUUUUUUUUUUAACACUAUGUAUUUCAAGAAAAUUCGAGGAAAUUUUCCUUGGGAAAGUCCCUUCUUAAACAACAUCGGUUGUAAUUUCAGUAACUUUUUAGUUGAUCGUAUAUAAAAGUGCGGUAAAAAGGUGAAAAAUACUUUAAUACUGAUAUUCUGGUAAUGUAAAAUAUAAGGUAACUUUAUAAUUAAAGUACGCAAGCAUAUUUUAAAGAACGAUUGAUUUCUCUCUUUUGCUUUCUUAAUUUUCUGAAAAGUUGAGGUCGAAAAAGGUCUGAAAAAGUAUUUUUAAGCCCC
rnacentral:lncRNA from 1 species